UGACUUGGUGCUCAACCACAUUCUGGGCCAAU
rnacentral:piRNA from 1 species